ACUGUCAUCGAUGGCUUCUUACCAAUAAGCCAUCAUCAAAGAGGAGAGGAAGGGGAGUCAUAGUCAUCAUUGCCAAGGGGGCAAAAGGAUAUUAAAUUUAUGCCAAUAAUACAUCGGCUUGUUUGUCAUCAUCAUGAUCGUCGGUUGAGCAUUGAGCCUUGAUGAUCAAUGAGGCAAUCAAGUUGUCGCCUAGUUGUUGUCAUCCAAC
rnacentral:lncRNA from 1 species